rnacentral:misc_RNA from 1 species
GAUGAAGAACGUAGCGAAAUGCGAUAAGUAAUGUGAAUUGCAGAAUUCAGUGAAUCAUCGAAUCUUUGAACGCACAUUGCGCCCCUUGGUAUUCCGAAGGGCAUGCCUGUUCGAGCGUCAUUUCACCACUCAAGCCUGGCUUGGUAUUGGGCGCCGCGGUCGAUCCGCGCGCCUCAAAGUCUCCGGCUGAGCUGUCCGUCUCUAAGCGUUGUGAUUUCAUUAAUCGCUUCGGAGUGCGGGCGGCCGCGGCCGUUAAAUCUUUCACAAGGUUGACCUCGGAUCAGGUAGGGAUACCCGCUGAACUUAAGCAUAUCAAUAAGCGGAGGA